GUAAGGAAUAUUGGUCAAUGGAGGCAACUCUGAACCAGCCAUGCCGCGUGCAGGAAGACGGCCCUCUGGGUUGUAAACUGCUUUUAUCCGGGAAUAAACCUGCCUUCGUGAAGGUAGCUGAAUGUACCGGAAGAAUAAGGAUCGGCUAACUCCGUGCCAGCAGCCGCGGUAAUACGGAGGAUCCAAGCGUUAUCCGGAUUUAUUGGGUUUAAAGGGUGCGUAGGCGGCCUGUUAAGUCAGGGGUGAAAGACGGUGGCUCAACCAUCGCAGUGCCCUUGAUACUGAUGGGCUUGAAUGGACUAGAGGUAGGCGGAAUGUGACAAGUAGCGGUGAAAUGCAUAGAUAUGUCACAGAACACCGAUUGCGAAGGCAGCUUACUAUGGUCCUAUUGACGCUGAGGCACGAAAGCGUGGGGAUCGAACAGGAUUAGAUACCCUUGUAGUCC
rnacentral:rRNA from 1 species